GCCGCUGUGGUUGUAGUUGGAGCCGCUGUGGUUGUUGUGGGAGACGCUGUGGUUGUUGUGGGAGCCGCUGUGGUUGUUGUGGGAGACGCAGUGGUUGUUGUGGGAGCCGCUGUGGUUGUUGUGGGAGCCGCUGUGGUUGUAGUUGAAGCCGCUUUAGUUGUUGUGGGAGACGCAGUGGUUGUUGUGGGAGCCGCUGUGGUUGUUGUGGGAGCCGCAGUGGUUGUAGUGGGAGCCGCUGUGGUUGUAGUGGGAGCAGCUGUGGUUGUAGUGGGAGCCGCUGUGGUUGUAGUGGUAUCCGCUGUGGUUGUAGUGGGAGCCGCUGUGGUUGUAGAGGGAGCCGCAGUGGUUGUAGUGGGAACUGCUGUGGUUGUAGUGGGAGGUGCUGUGGUUGUAGUGGGAGCAGCCGUGGUUGUAGUGGGAUCCGCUGUGGUUGUAGUGGUAGCCGCUGUGGUUGCAGUGGGAGCCACUGUGGUUGUAGUGGGAGCAGCAGUGGUUGUAGUGGGAGCCGCUGUGGUUGUAGUGGGAGCCGCUGUGGUUGUAGUGGGAGGCACUGUGGUUGUAGUGGGAGCAUCUGUGGUUGUAGUGGGAGUCGCUGUGGUUGUAGUGGGAGCCGCUGUGGUUGUAGUGGGAGCCGCAGUGGUUGUAGUGGGAGCCGCUGUGGUUGUAGUGGGAGCCGCUGUGGUUGUAGUGGGAGCCGCUGUGGUUGUAGUGGGAGCCGCUGUGGUUGUAGUGGGAGCCGCUGUGGUUGUAGUGGGAGCCGCUGUGGUUGUACUGGGAACCGCUGUGGUUGUACUGGGAGCCGCUGUGGUUGUUGUGGGAGCCGCUGUGGUUGUUGUGGGAGACUCAGUGGUUGUUGUGAGGUAAGCUGUGGUUGUUGUGGGAGCCUCUGUGGUUGUUGUGAGGUAAGCUGUGGUUGUUGUGGGAGCCGUUGUGGUUGUUGUGGGAGCCUCUGUGGUUGUUGUGGGAGCCGCUGUGGUUGUAGUGGGAGCCGCUGUGGUUGUUAUGGGAGCCGCUGUGGUUUUUGUGGGAGCCGCUGUGGUUGUUGUGGGAACCGCUGUGGUUGUAGUGGGAGACGCUGUGGUUGUAGUGGGAGCCGCUGUGGUUGUAGUGGGAGCCGCUGUGGUUGUAGUGGGAGUUGCUGUGGUUGUAGUGGGAGCUGCUGUCAUUGCUAUAACAUCAGCUGUGGUUGUUGUGGAAGCAGCUGGGGUUGUUGUGGGAGCCGCUGUGGUUGUAAUGGGAGCCGCUGUGGCUGUUGUGGGAGCAGCUGUGGUUGUAGUGGGAGCCACUGUGGCUGUAGUGGAAGCCGCUGUGGUUGUAGUGGGAGCCGCUGUGGUUGUAGUGGGAGAUGCUGUGGUCGUAGUAGGAGCUGCUGUGGUUGUAGUGGGAGUUGCUGUGGUCGUAGUGGGAGCUGCUGUCGUUGUUAUAACAUCAGCUGUGGUUGUUGUGGAAGCAGCUGUGGUUGUCUUGGGAGCCGCUGUGGUUGUAGUGGGAGU
ensembl:lncRNA